GAGUAAUGUCUGGGAAACUGCCUGAUGGAGGGGGAUAACUACUGGAAACGGUAGCUAAUACCGCAUAACGUCGCAAGACCAAAGAGGGGGACCUUCGGGCCUCUUGCCAUCAGAUGUGCCCAGGUGGGAUUAGCUAGUAGGUGGGGUAAUAGCUCACCUAGGCGACGAUCCCUAGCUGGUCUGAGAGGAUGACCAGCCACACUGGAACUGAGACACGGUCCAGACUCCUACGGGAGGCAGCAGUGGGGAAUAUUGCACAAUGGGCGCAAGCCUGAUGCAGCCAUGCCGCGUGUAUGAAGAAGGCCUUCGGGUUGUAAAGUACUUUCAGCGGGGAGGAAGGCAAUGUGGUUAAUAACCACAGUGAUUGACGUUACUCGCAGAAGAAGCACCGGCUAACUCCGUGCCAGCAGCCGCGGUAAU
rnacentral:rRNA from 1 species